rnacentral:rRNA from 1 species
AACACAUGCAAGUCGAACGCAGUUAGUAGCAAUACUAGCUGAGUGGCGAACGGGUGAGUAACACGUGGGUGACCUACCUUCGAGUGGGGGAUAACGUCCCGAAAGGGACGCUAAUACCGCAUAACAUCCUGCCUUUGAACAGGCGGAGAUCAAAGCCGGGGAUCGUAAGACCUGGCGCUUGAUGAGGGGCCCGCGUCCGAUUAGCUAGUUGGUGAGGUAAUGGCUCACCAAGGCAACGAUCGGUAGCCGGCCUGAGAGGGCGGACGGCCACACUGGGACUGAGACACGGCCCAGACUCCUACGGGAGGCAGCAGUGGGGAAUUGUUCGCAAUGGGCGCAAGCCUGACGACGCAACGCCGCGUGGAGGAUGAAGGUCUUCGGAUUGUAAACUCCUGUUGCUUGGGACGAAUAGCUCCAACCUAAUACGUUGGAGUGUGACGGUACCAGGUGAGGAAGC